AUUGAACGCUGGCGGCAUGCUUUACACAUGCAAGUCGAACGGUAACAGGCCUUCGGGUGCUGACGAGUGGCGAACGGGUGCGUAAUGCAUCGGAACGUACCCAGAGGUGGGGGAUAACGCAGCGAAAGCUGUGCUAAUACCGCAUGUGAUCUGAGGAUGAAAGCGGGGGACCGAGCAGCAAUGUUUGGCCUCGCGCCUUUGGAGCGGCCGAUGUCGGAUUAGCUAGUUGGUGGGGUAAAAGCCUACCAAGGCGACGAUCCGUAGCUGGUCUGAGAGGACGACCAGCAAAACUGGGACUGAACGAGGGCCGAGACUCUAGGGGGAGCAGGGGGGGGGGAGUUUUGAAAAGUGGCCGAAGGCAUAACCCAACAAGGCGGGGGGGGGGAGGAGGGCGUUGGGUUUGUACACUUCUUUGGGAAGGAAAGAAAGGGUGCCCGCUAAACGGGGCGAAUAGGGACGGAACCUGAAAAAAAGGCACCGGCAAAGUCCGUC
rnacentral:rRNA from 1 species